rnacentral:rRNA from 1 species
GACGAGGGGUCCUAGCGUUGUUCGGAAUCACUGGGCGUAAAGGGCGUGUAGGCGGGUAGAUAAGUCGGGCGUGAAAUCCCUAGGCUCAACCUAGGAACUGCACUCGAAACUGUUUAUCUUGAGUGCCGGAGAGGAAAGCGGGAAUUCCUGGUGUAGAGGUGAAAAUUCGUAGAUAUCAGGAGGAACACCAGUGGCGAAGGCGGCUUUCUGGACGGUAACUGACGCUGAGACGCGAAAGCGUGGGGGAGCAAAACAGGGAUUAGAUACCUUGU